UCUCUCUCUCUCUCUCUCUCUCUCGUCCUGCAGAGGUGGCAGACGUCUGUGUCUUUCUAUCUUCAGAUGACUCUCGGUACAUCACAGGAUCCAGUAUUGAAGUCACAGGAGGACUUUUCAUUGGCUGAAUCGUUCGUCUGAAACCCUGAUGAAGACCAACGGGGGGGCAGCUCCUUCAUAGUUAUAUCACUUGUUCAUAUAUUUCUUUGAUUUACAUGAUUGCUGCUGAAAACAUCUUAGAAAUCUGAAUGUGAACAUGUUUUAUGAAAACUUGUUUAGUGCCAAUAAACCUGUUUAUAACAUUU